rnacentral:rRNA from 1 species
UACGUAGGGCGCAAGCGUUGUCCGGAAUUAUUGGGCGUAAAGAGCUCGUAGGCGGCUUGUCACGUCGGAUGUGAAAGCCCGGGGCUUAACUCCGGGUCUGCAUUCGAUACGGGCUAGCUAGAGUGUGGUAGGGGAGAUCGGAAUUCCUGGUGUAGCGGUGAAAUGCGCAGAUAUCAGGAGGAACACCGGUGGCGAAGGCGGAUCUCUGGGCCAUUACUGACGCUGAGGCGCGAAAGCCAGGGGAGCGAACGGG